UGAGGAAUAUUGGUCAAUGGACGCAAGUCUGAACCAGCCAAGUAGCGUGCAGGAUGACGGCCCUAUGGGUUGUAAACUGCUUUUAUGUGGGAAUAAAGUGGCGCACGUGUGCGCCAUUGCAUGUACCUCAUGAAUAAGGACCGGCUAAUUCCGUGCCAGCAGCCGCGGUAAUACGGAAGGUCCGGGCGUUAUCCGGAUUUAUUGGGUUUAAAGGGAGUGUAGGCGGUCUGUUAAGCGUGUUGUGAAAUUUAGGUGCUCAACAUUUAACUUGCAGCGCGAACUGUCAGACUUGAGUACACGCAGCGCAGGCGGAAUUCAUGGUGUAGCGGUGAAAUGCUUAGAUAUCAUGAGGAACUCCGAUCGCGAAGGCAGCCUGCGGGAGUGUUACUGACGCUUAAGCUCGAAGGUGCGGGUAUCGAACAGG
rnacentral:rRNA from 1 species